rnacentral:rRNA from 1 species
AACGAACGCUGGCGGCAGGCCUAACACAUGCAAGUCGAACGAAGUCUUCGGACUUAGUGGCGCACGGGUGAGUAACACGUGGGAAUAUACCUUACGCUGGGGGAUAACAUCGGGAAACUGAUGCUAAUACCGCAUACGCCCUUCGGGGGAAAGAUUUAUCGGCGAAAGAUUAGCCCGCGUCCGAUUAGCUAGUUGGUGAGGUAAUGGCUCACCAAGGCUCCGAUCGGUAGCUGGUCUGAGAGGAUGACCAGCCACACUGGAACUGAGACACGGUCCAGACUCCUACGGGAGGCAGCAGUGGGGAAUAUUGGACAAUGGGCGCAAGCCUGAUCCAGCCAUGCCGCGUGAGUGAUGAAGGCCUUAGGGUUGUAAGGCCCUUUCGCCGGGGAAGAUAAUGACGGUACCCGGUAAAGAAACCCCGGCUAACUCCGUGCCAGCCGCCGCCGUAAUAC